rnacentral:misc_RNA from 1 species
UCAUUGCGAGCGAAGCGAAGCAAUCCAUUCUUGGGUCGCAACGCAUGGAUUGCUUCGUCGCUGGCGCUCCUCGCAAUGACGAAAUCGCGGUCCAAUCCGAUUUCAUCGCGCCCUAGAAAGCCCCCGGCGCGGCUCAAGUCAACCACUCGGAAUAUGGAGGAUUUAGGCCUAAAUCGCCGAAAUCACCGGCCGCGGGAGACCCGCUCGAUCUCGGCCUUGACGAUCCGCUCCACCAGAUUGGGCAGAUUGUCGUCCAGCCAGGAUUUCAGCAUCGGACGGAGCAUCUCCUUAACGAGAUCCUCAAGGGUCCGGGCAUUGUUGCUGAGAACGGUAUUCGCCAGCGUGUUGAACG